UUGCUUUCUCUUCUCCAUGGGCUGGUCUCUUGAAAUGUGCUCGUUGCAAUGUUCUUUGAUAAAUUUAUUUUAAAGUUUUAUUUCUGCCAACUUCUUGAAACUUAUAUUAAUUUUGUAGUAGAUGUAAACUCAGUGAAAGCAAAAUAUGCUAUGAGUUCUUGUUUUUCUCUUGGUAAUUUUUCUGUAAUUCCUAAUUUAUAAGAUGUCUUUCAACCUAACCUCCCGAGCACAUUGUAUGAUUUUUCAUGCAUUAACGAUAAUUCUGGAUUUUUGAAGAAGCAGUCGAUCGUACUGAGGAACAACCCUACAGAAAGGAGUCCAGCUGGAAGGCCCAAGACAAGAUGGUGGGACCAGGCCCGGAAAUACAUGAGAAAGAUGGGGCUGAAUGAGGAUGACGCUGUUGACUGAAAUCGUUGGAGAGGCAGGGUUGUUGAGGCCAAAUAUAGCGGCUGGGGUACGAGUGGCCACUACAACCGGGUUGGCAGCAGCCAGCACAGAGCACCUGGCGUUGAGCCGCGCCUGAAUGCCGGCCUUGGCGAUGGUGACCCUCCCCUGCUCCAUCACCUCGUGGAUGGCCGUCCUGUCCAAGUCCGACAUCUUGUCGAACUCGUCGAUGCACACCACACCUCUGUCGGCCAGCACCAUAGCACCUGCCUCCAGUCUGCAAACCAAAACCAAUGGUUAGGGGGCGUUAACAUUGGUCGAGUUUACUUGAAUUCAAGUUUUGUGUAAAAUGCAAUACAAAGUUUUGUAUUGUAAUGUGCAUUGGAACAAACUUGAAGUCAAGUUUACUAGAACAGAAACUUGAAUCCAUUUGAGUUUAUAACAAGUCAAAGUUUGUAUUGUAAAGUGCAUUGGAACAAACUUGAAGUAAAAUUUACUAGAACAGGAACUUGAAUCCAUUUUAGUUUAUAGCAAGUCACAGUUUGUAUUGUAAAGUGCAUUGGAACAAACUUGAAGUCAAGUUUACUAGAACAGAAAAUUGAAUCCAUUUUAUAUUAUAACAAGUCAAAGCUUUUAUUGUAAAGUGCAUUGGAACAAACUUAAAGUCAAGUUUACUAGAACAGGAACUUGAAUCAAUUUUAGUUUAUAACAAGUCACAGCACAGUUUGUAUUGUAAAGUGCAUUGGAACAAACUUGAAGUCAAGUUUACUAGAACAGGAACUUGAAUCAAUUUUAGUUUAUAACAAGUCACAGCACAGUUUGUAUUGUAAAGUGCAUUGGAACAAACUUGAAGUCAAGUUUACUAGAACAGAAAAUUGAAUCCAUUUUAUAUUAUAACAAGUCAAAGCUUUUAUUGUAAAGUGCAUUGGAACAAACUUAAAGUCAAGUUUACUAGAACAGGAACUUGAAUCAAUUUUAGUUAUAACAAGUCACAGCACAGUUUGUAUUGUAAAGUGCAUUGGAACAAACUUGAAGUCAAGUUUACUAGAACAGAAAAUUGAAUCCAUUUUAUAUUAUAACGAGUCAAAGCUUUUAUUGUAAAGUGCAUUGAAACAAACUUAAAGUCAAGUUUACUAGAACAGGAACUUGAAUCAAUUUUAGUUUAUAACAAGUCACAGUUUGUAUUGUAAAGUGCAUUGGAACAAACUUGAAGUCAAGUUUACUAGAACAGACACUUGAAUCAACUUCCACUAUACCAAUGUAGACCCUUCUUUUAGUUUUGUUCAUUCAAGUACAUGUUGAACUUGUUUGACUUUUCGAUUCAACCUGAAAUCUUGAAGGUACAAUCCAACCCAUAAAUGGGAAAAUAAGGUGAAAACAGUUGCCAGACAAUGUAACCUUUGGGUCAUUAUCCACAAAAUGUUAAUUAUAAAAACUAUUACACUGUAGACUAAGAUUCAUUCGAGCAUUUUCAAGUGAGUGUUGGAAUGUAUAUGCUUAUGCAUAUGCUAAGGGUAGAUUAAAUGAAUGUAAUAAUUUCUAAUGAAUGUAUUAUGUCUUAUGAUGGAUAAUAAACUUGAUUUGAAUGUAUAAAAACAACUAAAUAGAAAAGUGAUAUUUUACAGGUGCUCUUCAGUAGUUCAUUUAGAUCAGCCUUAGGUUGAUUUGCUAAUUAGUAUGUUGAUUGUAUUUCAGAUUCAAUUUAGAAAUAGACCUUAGUUGAACUCUGACUAUAGGAUAUAGAAUUUCCAUUUCAUGCUUUUCAAUUUCCAUUCUCAAACAAAUAGAUUGUUGUUUUUCUAAGGCUAAAUAAACUACAGAAGAGCACCUGUAGAAAAUGAAUCUUCUGAUAACACCUUAUUGUGCAGCAUAGCUUUUCUUCAGACCAUAAUCAUGGAUUAAAUAGUUCUUUUAUGUUGGCGUACCUGCGUUCGCCAGUCUCCUGGUCGGUGGUGACGGCGGCCGUGAGUCCGACACCGCUGCUGCCCCGCCCCGUCGUGGUGACCGCCCGCACCGCAGUGCACAACACGUAACGCAGCAGUUGCGACUUGGCCACGCUCGGGUCCCCAAUCAGCAGCACGUUGAUGUCCCUGCCAAACAACACAAUCAUUCAACAUAACACAACUUCCAGUAGAGUACCACAGGCUUAAGCCCAAAACUGUUCCAAUUCUAACUGUAUGACAGUUCCAACUGUAUGACAGUCUAAAUGUAGCUAGUUACAUUACCACCUAAAAAUGUAGCUACAUUAUCACCUCUUUCUGAAAACGACUGCAAUUGAAUGUACAGAUGGACCGAACGUUCCUGGCACAUAGCCAGAAACGGCCGGCCAAAGCUAGUGCAAUUUCUGAAUACAUUGGGCUACGUCAAUAUGAUAAUUGAUCCUUCUAAACCCUAAUUUGCGAAAAACAAGCUCAUUACAAUAUUUAUUCAUUAUUGGCAUUUUAUUGCUUGUAUUUAUUAUUAUAUUGUUUCAUAGUACCGUACAUACUUACUUAUAGAACUGAGUUAAGUGAAAGAGUAACUCUUCUUUAUCUGCUAAAUUAUUCUAUUGUAUAUGAAAAUAAAGUAAUUUGAUUU
rnacentral:lncRNA from 1 species